rnacentral:rRNA from 1 species
CCCUGGUAGUNCNNNCNGUAAACGAUAAGUGNUUAAGUGUUAGGGUGUUUCCGCCCGUUAGUGAUGCAGCUAACGCAUUAAGCACUCCGCCUGGGGAGUACGGUCGCAAGAGUGAAACUCAANGGAAUUGACGGGGGCCUGCACAANCGGUGGAGCAUGUGGUUUAAUUCGAAGCAACGNGAAGAACCUUACCAGGUCUUGACAUCCUCUGACAACCCUAGAGAUAGGGCUUUCCCUUCGGGGACAGAGUGACAGGUGGUGCAUGGUUGUCGUCAGCUCGUGUCGUGAGAUGUUGGGUUAAGUCCCGCAACGAGCGCAACCCUUGAUCUUAGUUGCCAGCAUUCAGUUGGGCACUCUAAGGUGACUGCCGGUGACAAACCGGAGGAAGGUGGGGAUGACGUCAAAUCAUCAUGCCCCUUAUGACCUGGGCUACACACGUGCUACAAUGGACAGAACAAAGGGCUGCAAGACCGCAAGGUUUAGCCAAUCCCAUAAAUCUGUUCUCAGUUCGGAUCGCAGUCUGCAACUCGACUGCGUGAAGCUGGAAUCGCUAGUAAUCGCGGAUCAGCAUGCCGCGGUGAAUACGUUCCCGGGCCUUGUACACACCGCCCGUCACACCACGAGAGUUUGCAACACCCGAAGUCGGUGAGGUAACCUUUAUGGAGCCAGCCGCCGAAGGUGGGGCAGAUGANNNNGG